AGCGAACGCUGGCGGCAGGCUUAACACAUGCAAGUCGAGCGGGCACUUCGGUGUCAGCGGCAGACGGGUGAGGAACACGUGGGAACGUACCCUUUGGUUCGGAAUAACGCUGGGAAACUAGCGCUAAUACCGGAUACGCCCUUUUGGGGAAAGGCUUGCUGCCGAAGGAUCGGCCCGCGUCUGAUUAGCUAGUUGGUGGGGUAAUGGCCUACCAAGGCGACGAUCAGUAGCUGGUCUGAGAGGAUGAUCAGCCACACUGGGACUGAGACACGGCCCAGACUCCUACGGGGGGGAGCAGUAGGGAAUAUUGGACAAUGGGCGCAAGCCUGAUCCAGCCAUGCCGGGUGAGUGAUGAAGGCCUUAGGGUUGUAAAGCUCUUUUGUCCGGGACGAUAAUGACGGUACCGGAAGAAUAAGCCCCGGCUAACUUCGUG
rnacentral:rRNA from 1 species